AACGAACGCUGGCGGCAUGCCUAACACAUGCAAGUCGAACGCUCGCAAGAGAGUGGCGCACGGGUGAGUAACGCGUGGGAACCUGCCUUUCGGUUCGGAAUAACGUUUGGAAACGAACGCUAAUACCGGAUGCGGCCUGAGGGUCAAAGAUUUAUCGCCGAAAGAUGGGCCCGCGUCCGAUUAGGUAGUUGGUGGGGUAACGGCCUACCAAGCCGACGAUCGGUAGCUGGUCUGAGAGGAUGAUCAGCCACACUGGGACUGAGACACGGCCCAGACUCCUACGGGAGGCAGCAGUGGGGAGUAUUGGACAAUGGGCGAAAGCCUGAUCCAGCAAUGCCGCGUGAGUGAUGAAGGCCUUAGGGUUGUAAAGCUCUUUCGCACGCGACGAUGAUGACGGUAGCGUGAGAAGAAGCCCCGGCUAACUUCGUGCCAGCCGCCGCAGUAAAAC
rnacentral:rRNA from 1 species